AGCCCAUCUCUAGCCCGACACCCCACAACCCAAAUGCACUUAAAAACUUAUUAAACCUCCAAACUAAAACAUUCUCCAAACUUAGUAUAGGUGAUAGAAAAGACAUCAGGCGCAAUAGAAAUUCGUACCGUAAGGGAAAGAUGAAAUAGCAAUGAACAACCCAAGCAGUAGACAGCAAAGACUAACCCUUGUACCUCUUGCAUCAUGAUUUAGUAAGAACAACCAAGCAAAGCGGACUUAAGCUUGCCACCCCGAAACCCAAGCGAGCUACUUACAAGCAGCUAACCCUGAGCGAACCCGUCUCUGUUGCAAAAGAGUGGGAUGACUUGUUAGUAGAGGUGAAAAGCCAACCGAGCUGGGUGAUAGCUGGUUACCUGUGAAAUGAAUCUAAGUUCUACCUUGACACCUCCCUAAGGACUUAAACUACCCUAAUGAAGAUGGCCAAGAGUAAUUUAAAGGAGGUACAGCUCCUUUAAGAAAGGAUACAACCUCUCCUAGCGGAUAACCUUACUCAACUAAAACAAUUGUGGGCCCUAAAGCAGCCACCAACAAAGAGUGCGUCAAAGCUCCCCUACUCAAAAACCCCUAAACUACACGACUCCCUUCCCACCAACAGGUUAACCUAUGGUAAUAGGAGAAUUAAUACUAAAAUGAGUAACCAGGACAUGUCCCCUCUUAAGCGCAAACUUACAUCUAUCCAACAUUAUUAACAGAUUUGAUACCAACACUCCAACAAGACUAAAUAUCCCACCCUCUGUUAACCCAACCCAGGAGCGCAUGUUAGAAAGAUUAAAAUCUGUAAAAGGAACUAGGCAACUCCCCCAAGGCCCGACUGUUUACCAAAAACAUAGCCUUCAGCCAAACAAGUAUUGAAGGUGAUGCCUGCCCAGUGACUUCAUGUUCAACGGCCGCGGUAUCCUAACCGUGCGAAGGUAGCGCAAUCAAUUGUCCCAUAAAUCGAGACUUGUAUGAAUGGCUAAACGAGGUCUUAACUGUCUCUUACGGAUAAUCAGUGAAAUUGAUCUCCCUGUGCAAAAGCAGGAAUGAGCACAUAAGACGAGAAGACCCUGUGGAACUUAAAAAUCAUCAGCCACCCCAUAGCAGAAUCCAACCUACAUUAGGCCCAUCACUACAAUAACACUGGCUGACAUUUUUCGGUUGGGGCGACCUUGGAGAAAAACAAAUCCUCCAAAAAUAAGACCACCCUCUUAACCAAGAACAACCCCUCAACGUACUAAUAGUAACCAGACCCAAUAUAAUUGACUAAUGGACCAAGCUACCCCAGGGAUAACAGCGCAAUCCCCUCCAAGAGUCCAUAUCGACAAGGGGGUUUACGACCUCGAUGUUGGAUCAGGACAUCCUAAUGGUGCAGCCGCUAUUAAGGGUUCGUUUGUUCAACGAUUAAUAGUCCUACGUGAUCUGAGUUCAGACCGGAGUAAUCCAGGUCGGUUUCUAUCUAUGACGAACUUUUCCCAGUACGAAAGGACCGGAGAAGUGAGGCCAAUGCUACAGCGUACGCCUCCCCUCUAAGCAGUGAAUUCAACUAAACUACCAAGAGACUCCACACAAUACCUAAUCCUAGAAAAGGACC
rnacentral:rRNA from 1 species